GGUUAGUUAGAGUACAAUGGUGUUUACAACUAAUUGAUCACAACUAGUUACAGAUUUCUUUGUUCCUUCUCCACUUCCACUGCUUCACUUGACCAGCCUUUA
rnacentral:Y_RNA from 1 species